rnacentral:misc_RNA from 1 species
GAUGAAGAACGCAGCGAAAUGCGAUAAGUAAUGUGAAUUGCAGAAUUCAGUGAAUCAUCGAAUCUUUGAACGCACAUUGCGCCCGCCAGCAUUCUGGCGGGCAUGCCUGUUCGAGCGUCAUUUCAACCCUCAGGCCCCCAGUGCCUGGUGUUGGGGAUCGGCCCAGCCUUCCUGUAAGGCCGCCGGCCCCGAAAUCUAGUGGCGGUCUCGCUGUAGUCCUCCUCUGCGUAGUAGCACAACCUCGCAGUUGGAACGCGGCGGUGGCCAUGCCGUUAAACACCCCACUUCUGAAAGUUGACCUCGGAUCAGGUAGGAAUACCCGCUGAACUUAAGCAUAUCAAUAAGCGGAGGA